AUACUUACCUGGACAGGGGGCUACCGUGAUCAGGAACGGGGGUCCCCCCCGGCGGGGGCCAAACCUUUGCCCCUCCGGUGGGGCUAAACCCCUGCGAAAAUCCCAAAUGGGUUUCCCGGGGGUCCCGUUAUUUUUUUUGGGGGGGUUUUGGUUCGCGCAAACCCCCG